rnacentral:rRNA from 1 species
UACGAAGGGGGCUAGCGUUGUUCGGAAUUACUGGGCGUAAAGGGCGCGUAGGCUGUGCUGUAAGUCAGGCGUGAAAGCCCCGGGCUCAACCUGGGAAUUGCGCUUGAUACUGCGGCGCUGGAAGGUGGGAGAGGAUGGCGGAAUUCCCGGUGUAGCGGUGAAAUGCGUAGAGAUCGGGAGGAACACCCGUGGCGAAGGCGGCCAUCUGGACCAGCACUGACGCUGAGGCACGAAAGCGUGGGGAGCAAACAGG